UACGUAGGUGGCAAGCGUUGUCCGGAAUUAUUGGGCGUAAAGGGCGCGCAGGCGGCCGAUUAAGUCUGAUAUGAAAUCCCACGGCUUAACCGUGGAAGGUCAUUGGAAACUGAUUGGCUUGAGUGCAGAAGAGGAGAGUGGAAUUCCACGUGUAGCGGUGAAAUGCGUAGAUAUGUGGAGGAACACCAGUGGCGAAGGCGGCUCUCUGGUCUGCAACUGACGCUGAGGCGCGAAAGCGUGGAUAGCAAACAGG
rnacentral:rRNA from 1 species